AGGAUGAACGCUAGCGGCAGGCUUAAUACAUGCAAGUCGAGGGGCAGCGCAGUGUAGCAAUACAUGGGCGGCGACCGGCAAACGGGUGCGGAACACGUACAGAACCUUCCUUCGAGCGGGGAAUAGCCCAGAGAAUUUGGAUUAAUACCCCAUAGUAUUGCGGAGUGGCAUCACUUUGCAAUUAAAGAUUUAUCACUUGAAGAUGGCUGUGCGGCUGAUUAGGUAGUUGGCGGGGUAACGGCCCACCAAGCCUGCGAUCAGUAACUGGUGUGAGAGCACGACCAGUCACACGGGCACUGAGACACGGGCCCGACUCCUACGGGAGCAGCAGUAAGGAAUAUUGGUCAAUGGACGCAAGUCUGAACCAGCCAUGCCGCGUGGAGGAUGAACGGUCCUCUGGAUUGUAAACUUUCUUUUUAUUAGGAACGUAAAAGGUCUUUACUAGAUUCAACUGACGUACAGAUAGAAUAAGCAACCGGCUAACUCCGUAGACCAGCAACG
rnacentral:rRNA from 1 species